rnacentral:rRNA from 1 species
UGAGGGCGUUAACGCCCGACCUCCAACCCUUGUGAAACCAACCUCUGUUGCCUCGGGGGCGACCCGGCCCUUCGGGUGUCGGGGCCCUCGGUGGACCACACUUCAACUCUGCGUCUUUGCGUCUGAGUCUUAUGAUAAAUCAAUCAAAACUUUUAACAACGGAUCUCUUGGUUCUGGCAUCGAUGAAGAACGCAGCGAAAUGCGAUAAGUAGUGUGAAUUGCAGAAUUCAGUGAAUCAUCGAAUCUUUGAACGCACAUUGCGCCCCUUGGUAUUCCAUGGGGCAUGCCUGUUCGAGCGUCAUUUGUACCCUCAAGCUCUGCUUGGUGUUGGGUGUUUGUCCUCUCCUCUGCGUUUGGACUCGCCUCAAAGCAAUUGGCAGCCAGUGUUUUGGUAUUGAAGCGCAGCACAUUUUGCGAUUCUGGCCUAUAAUACUUGCGUCCAUAAGCCUAUUUUCAACUUUUGACCUCGGAUCAGGUAGGGAUACCCGCUGAACUUAAGCAUAUCAAUAAGCGGAGGAAAAGAAACCAACAGGGAUUGCCCCAGUAACG